GUGCCAGCCGCCGCGGUAAUACGGAGGGUCCAAGCGUUAUCCGGAAUCAUUGGGUUUAAAGGGUCCGCAGGCGGACUAGUAAGUCAGUGGUGAAAUCUCUCAGCUUAACUGGGAAACUGCCAUUGAUACUGUUAGUCUUGAAUUCGGUCGAAGUGGGCGGAAUGUGUCAUGUAGCGGUGAAAUGCAUAGAUAUGACACAGAACACCGAUAGCGAAGGCAGCUCACUAGGCCUGAAUUGACGCUCAGGGACGAAAGCGUGGGGAGCGAACAGGAUUAGAUACCCGAGUAGUCC
rnacentral:rRNA from 1 species